AUCAGAAGGGAGGCUACCACCCAACCCCUCCAUUGUCUUCUGAGACUAAGCUGCUUUCUAAGAAGGCCCUAGAGGAAGGAGAACUGUUGCAGGCGUGGGGGAAGCCUAAGCUCAGGAGGCUCAGGCUUAGCACUGGACGUUUUGGGCUAUGCAGCCCUGUGUGGUUUUGCCCAUGAAAAAUGUCAACACAUAUCGCCAAAUAUACCCCGAGGAACAAAAUUACUUCAGGUGGAGCAUUAGUAUC